GCGAUGAAUGCCGGUGGAACUACAGCACUAUUAAUGCCCGUGUCGUGGGUUCGAAUCCCGCCGGGGUCCUUCGGGACACCGUAGCUCAGUCUGGUAGAGCAGGAACACGUUUCACCACCCCUUGUCAUCGCUCA
rnacentral:Y_RNA from 1 species